CCUACGGGAGGCAGCAGUGGGGGAUAUUGCACAAUGGGGGGAACCCUGAUGCAGCGACGCCGCGUGGGUGAAGAAGCGCCUCGGCGCGUAAAGCCCUGUCAGCAGGGAAGAAAAUGACGGUACCUGAAGAAGAAGCCCCGGCUAACUACGUGCCAGCAGCCGCGGUAAUACGUAGGGGGCAAGCGUUAUCCGGAUUUACUGGGUGUAAAGGGAGCGUAGACGGCAGGGCAAGUCUGGAGUGAAAGCCCGGGGCCCAACCCCGGGACUGCUUUGGAAACUGCCAUGCUGGAGUGCUGGAGAGGUAA
rnacentral:rRNA from 1 species